AGUGAACGCUGGCGGCGUGCUUAACACAUGCAAGUCGAACGAUGAAGCUAGAGCUUGCUCUGGUGGAUUAGUGGCGAACGGGUGAGUAACACGUGAGUAACCUGCCCCGAACUCUGGGAUAACUGCUGGAAACGGUAGCUAAUACUGGAUAUGUCCCGUCACCGCAUGGUGUGCGGGUGGAAAGAUUUUUCGGUUGGGGAUGGGCUCGCGGCCUAUCAGCUUGUUGGUGAGGUAAUGGCUCACCAAGGCGUCGACGGGUAGCCGGCCUGAGAGGGUGACCGGCCACACUGGGACUGAGACACGGCCCAGACUCCUACGGGAGGCAGCAGUGGGGAAUAUUGCACAAUGGGCGGAAGCCUGAUGCAGCAACGCCGCGUGAGGGAUGGCGGCCUUCGGGUUGUAAACCUCUUUUAGCAGGGAAGAAGCGAGAGUGACGGUACCUGCAGAAAAAGCACCGGCUAACUACGUGCCAGCCGCCGCCGUAA
rnacentral:rRNA from 1 species